GGAGAUGUAGCUCAAACGGUAGAGUACUCGCUUUGCAUGCAAGAGGUACGGGUUUCGAUACCCCGCAUCACAG
rnacentral:tRNA from 1 species